UACAGAGGUCCCAAGCGUUGUUCGGAUUCACUGGGCGUAAAGGGUGUGUAGGCGGUCGGGUAAGUCUGAUGUGAAAUCUCACAGCUUAACUGUGAAACUGCAUUGGAUACUAUCCGGCUCGAGGAAUGGAGGGGAGACUGGAAUACUUGGUGUAGCAGUGAAAUGCGUAGAUAUCAAGUGGAACACCAGUGGCGAAGGCGAGUCUCUGGACAUUUCCUGACGCUGAGGCACGAAAGCCAGGGGAGCAAACGGG
rnacentral:rRNA from 1 species